rnacentral:rRNA from 1 species
UACAGAGGGGGCGAGCGUUAUUCGGAAUUAUUGGGCGUAAAGGGCGCGUAGGCGGCCAGCACAAGUCAGUUGUGAAAUCUCCGAGCUUAACUCGGAAAGGUCAACUGAUACUGUGCGGCUAGAGUGCGGAAGGGGCAACUGGAAUUCUUGGUGUAGCGGUGAAAUGCGUAGAUAUCAAGAGGAACACCUGCGGCGAAGGCGGGUUGCUGGGCCGACACUGACGCUGAUGCGCGAAAGCCAGGGGAGCGAACGGG